UUGUAGUCUGGAGAAGUGCUUUCCGCGCUGGACCGUGUAUAAGUCUCUUGGAACAGAGCGUCAUAGAGGGUGAGAAUCCCGUCUUUGACACGGACUACCCAUGUUUUGGGAGGCGNUCUCAAAAAGUCAAGUUGUUNGGGNAAGCANCUCAAAANGGGNGNUAAAUUCCUUCUAANGUUAAUUUUGGGCNAGAGACCGAUGGCGAACAAUUACCGGGAGGGAAAAAUGAAAAGCANUUUGGAAAAAAAGUUAAACAGUACNUGAAAUUGNUGAAGGGAAACGCUGGAAUUCGUUCCCGUUUGCCGAACUCGGCCUUCCUUUUGGUUGGGGCAUUUUCCGGUAAACGGGCCACCAUCAAUUUGAACCGUUGGAAAAGGGUUGGAAAAAUGUGGCACCUUCGGUUUGGUUAUAUUCUUCAGUCCCUAACGGCGGUGGGGAUCGAGAAACGCAGCGCGCCGCAGGGCAGGGCUCCGGCCACUUUCCCGCUAAGAAGGCUGGCUAAAGGGCUUUAAACAACCCGUCUUGAAACACGGACNAAGGAGUCUAACAAACCUGCAAUUGUUUGGUUGAAAAACCCGAGCGCGUAAGGAAAGUGAAAGUUGAAACUUCUGUCGGGAAGGGCAUCAACCCCGGGACCUGAGGUUUACGGACGGAUCCGCGGUANANCAGGUUUGGUGGACCCGAAAGAUGGUGUACUAUGCCUGAUAUAGCCAGAGGAACUCUG
rnacentral:rRNA from 1 species